CACACUAAGAACAAGCUAAAACAGGGCCAUAGUGGAAGUGGCUUUUCAUUAGACACGCUCACCAGUGUGCCAUGUUAGUUUACCAUUGCCACUUGGGGUAAAACUCAGGAGUUAACUCUUUUUCAUUUAUUUAUUUAUUGAGAUGGAUUCUCAUUCUGUCACCCAGGGUGGAAUGCAAUGGCAUGGUCUCACCUCACUGCAACCUCUGCCUCCCAGGUUCAAGCAAUCCUCCCACCUCAGCCUCCCGAGUAGCUGGGACUACAGCUUGCCAUUGAAUUCUUUCCUAGGCAAACCGAAGAACCUUCCAAGAUAAGCCACACUGCUCAACUCACCUGCCCUGUGUCAGCUUUGCGUAGCUAAACUGAUAUUCAUAAGACUCUAUCUCUUAAACCACCCCUAAGUACAGGUUACAUUGCUAAUGCAGUGAUGAAACAGAAAACAUGACUCCCACUCCCCCAAAAAAUUUUAAGUAUUUCUCCUUUUAAAGUAAAUGUCAGUCAUACACUAUUUCCUUGUGUCCUCUUAAACUUUCUUUGAGGUGUAUGAGUUCAUAUAGAAUGCUUUACCAUUGUCAGAAUUGUUAAUCCAAUGCCAAAUUAAA
rnacentral:lncRNA from 13 species